rnacentral:rRNA from 1 species
AACGAACGCUGGCGGCAUGCCUUACACAUGCAAGUCGAACGGUAACAGGUUAAGCUGACGAGUGGCGAACGGGUGAGUAAUGCAUCGGAACGUGCCCGAUCGUGGGGGAUAACGCAGCGAAAGCUGCGCUAAUACCGCAUACGAUCUGAGGAUGAAAGCGGGGGACCGUAAGGCCUCGCGCGAUCGGAGCGGCCGAUGUCAGAUUAGGUAGUUGGUGGGGUAAAGGCCCACCAAGCCGACGAUCUGUAGCUGGUCUGAGAGGACGACCAGCCACACUGGGACUGAGACACGGCCCAGACUCCUCCGGGAGGCAGCAGGGGGGAAUUUUGGACAAUGGGCGAAAGCCUGAUCCAGCAAUGCCGCGUGCAGGAAGAAGGCCUUCGGGUUGUAAACUGCUUUUGUACGGAGCGAAAAGGUCCUUUCUAAUACAAGGGGCUCAUGACGGUACCGUAAGAAUAAGCACCGGCUAACUACGUGCCAGCCGCCGCCGUAA